GAUUGAACGCUGGCGGUAUGCUUAACACAUGCAAGUCGAACGGAAACGAUACUAGCUUGCUAGUAGGCGUCGAGUGGCGGACGGGUGAGUAACGCGUAGGAAUUUGCCUGAUAGUGGGGGAUAGCCCGAAGAAAUUCGGAUUAAUACCGCAUAAUCUAUUCGUAGUAAAGUGGGGGACUUUCGAGCCUCACGCUAUCAGAUGAGCCUGCGUAAGAUUAGCUUGUUGGUAGGGUAAAAGCCUACCAAGGCGACGAUCUUUAGCUGGUCUGAGAGGAUGAUCAGCCACAUCGGGACUGAGACACGGCCCGAACUCCUACGGGAGGCAGCAGUGGGGAAUAUUGGACAAUGGGGGCAACCCUGAUCCAGCAAUACCGCGUGUGUGAAGAAGGCCUGAGGGUUGUAAAGCACUUUCAAUUGUGAAGAAAAGUUAGCGGUUAAUAACCGUUAGCCUUGACGUUAACUUUAGAAGAAGCACCGGCUAACUCCGUGCCAGCAGCCGCGGUAAUACGGAGGGUGCAAGCGUUAAUCGGAAUUACUGGGCGUAAAGCGUGCGUAGCGGUUUAUUAAGUCAGAUGUGGAAAGCCCCGGGCUUAACCUGGGAACUGCAUUUGAAACUGGUCAACUAGAGUAUGGUAGAGGGAAAGUGGGAAUUUCUGGUGUAGCGGUGAAAUGCGUAGAUAUCUGAAAGGAACAUCAAUGGCGAAGGCAGCUUUCUGGACUAAUACUGACACUGAGGUACGAAAGCGUGGGUAGCAAACAGGAUUAGAUACCCUGGUAGUCCACGCCGUAAACGAUGACAACUAGCCGUUGGGAGGGAUUACCUCUUAGUGGCGAAGCUAACGCGUUAAGUUGUCCGCCUGGGGAGUACGGCCGCAAGGUUAAAACUCAAAGGAAUUGACGGGGACCCGCACAAGCGGUGGAGCAUGUGGUUUAAUUCGAUGCAACGCGAAGAACCUUACCUGGUCUUGACAUACACGGAACUUUCCAGAGAUGGAUUGGUGCCUUCGGGAACCGUGAUACAGGUGCUGCAUGGCUGUCGUCAGCUCGUGUCGUGAGAUGUUGGGUUAAGUCCCGUAACGAGCGCAACCCUUAUCCUUAUUUGCCAGCACAUCAUGGUGGGAACUAUAAGGAGACUGCCGGUGAUAAACCGGAGGAAGGCGGGGACGACGUCAAGUCAUCAUGGCCCUUACGACCAGGGCUACACACGUGCUACAAUGGGAAGGACAAAGGGUUGCUAAGCCGCGAGGUGGUGCUAAUCUCAUAAACCUUUUCGUAGUCCGGAUCGGAGUCUGCAACUCGACUCCGUGAAGUCGGAAUCGCUAGUAAUCGUGGAUCAGAACGCCACGGUGAAUACGUUCCCGGGUCUUGUACACACCGCCC
rnacentral:rRNA from 2 species